rnacentral:SRP_RNA from 1 species
GCCAGGUGUGGUGGUGCGCACUUGUAAUCCCAGCUACUCGGGAGGCUGAGGCAAGAGAAUCCCUUGAACCCAGGAGGCGGAGUUUGCAGUGAGCUGAGAUCGUGCCAUUGCACUCCAGCCUGGGCUACAAGAAAAGAAAAAAAAAAAAAAAUGUCAGCAGGGCUGAUCCUUCUGGAGGCUCUAGGGGAAAAUCUAUUUCCUUGUCUUUUUUUUUUUUUUUUUUUUGAGACAGAGUCUUCAGGCUGGAGUGCAGUGGCGCGAUCUCAGCUCACUGCAACCUCCGCCUUCCAGGUUCAAGCAAUUCUCCUGCCUCAG